rnacentral:rRNA from 1 species
UGGGGAAUCUUGGGCAAUGGGCGAAAGCCUGACCCAGCCAUGCCGCGUGUGCGAAGAAGGCCUUCGGGUUGUAAAGCACUUUCAGUGGUAAAGAAAAGCCAGGAGCUAAUACCCCCUGGUCUUGACGUUAGCCACAGAAGAAGCACCGGCUAACUCCGUGCCAGCAGCCGCGGUAAUACGGAGGGUGCAAACGUUAAUCGGAAUUACUGGGCGUAAAGCGCGCGUAGGCGGUCCGGCAAGUGGGAUGUGAAAGCCCUGGGCUUAACCUGGGAACUGCAUUCCAAACUACCGGGCUAGAGUAUGGUAGAGGGAGGUAGAAUUUCCUGUGUAGCGGUGAAAUGCGUAGAUAUAGGAAGGAAUACCAGUGGCGAAGGCGGCCUCCUGGACCAAUACUGACGCU